UGCAUCGGCCGGGAAUUGAACCCGGGCCGGCCGCGUGGCAGGCGAGUAUUCUACCACUGAACGAACCGAUGG